rnacentral:tRNA from 1 species
UGGGAUGUAGCUCAGCUGGUAGAGUGGCUAUCUCGCAUGUGCAAGGCCCUGGGUUCAACCCCCAGCAACACGA